rnacentral:misc_RNA from 1 species
UUAUGUCUUUCAUUAGACAACGGGGGGCUUUGUACGCGUCACCUUUCAGUUUCUGAAUUGUAGCGCCUACAGCCCCUGUCUGAACCCGUGUUUUUGCGUACUACUUGUUUCCUUGGUGGGCUUGCCUGCCAAAUGGACCACAUUAAACCCUUGUAAUUGCAAUCAGCGUCAGAAAAUAAUAAUAAUUACAACUUUCAACAACGGAUCUCUUGGCUCU